rnacentral:rRNA from 1 species
AGCUCCAAUAGCGUAUAUUAAAGUUGUUGCGGUUAAAAAGCUCGUAGUUGGAUCUCGGCGGGUAGGGGGCGGUUCGUUAUCUGACGCUACUGCCCCAUUUACCCGUGUUUUUGACAGAGGUUGCAAGGUGCGCUUUACCGUGUGUCUUGUGAUGCUGUCAGGUUUACUUUGAAAAAAUUAGAGUGCUCAAAGCAGGCUUUACACGCUUGAAUAUUCGUGCAUGGAAUAAUGGAAUAGGACGUCGCUUCUAUUUUGUUGGUUUUCGGAAAUCGACGUAAUGAUUAAUAGGGACAGUCGGGGGCAUUAGUAUUCAGACGACAGAGGUGAAAUUCUUGGACCGUCUGAAGACUCACUACUGCGAAAGCAUUUGCCAAGAAUGUUUUCA